CGCUGGCGGCGUGCUUAACACAUGCAAGUCGAACGGUAAGGCCCCUUCGGGGGUACACGAGUGGCGAACGGGUGAGUAACACGUGGGUAAUCUGCCCUGCACUUCGGGAUAAGCCUGGGAAACUGGGUCUAAUACCGGAUAUGAGCUCCUGCCGCAUGGUGGGGGUUGGAAAGUUUUUCGGUGCAGGAUGAGUCCGCGGCCUAUCAGCUUGUUGGUGGGGUAAUGGCCUACCAAGGCGACGACGGGUAGCCGGCCUGAGAGGGUGAUCGGCCACACUGGGACUGAGACACGGCCCAGACUCCUACGGGAGGCAGCAGUGGGGAAUAUUGCACAAUGGGCGAAAGCCUGAUGCAGCGACGCCGCGUGGGGGAUGACGGUCUUCGGAUUGUAAACCCCUUUCAGUAGGGACGAAGCGCAAGUGACGGUACCUGCAGAAGAAGCACCGGCCAACUACGUG
rnacentral:rRNA from 1 species